rnacentral:rRNA from 1 species
AUUGAACGCUGGCGGCAUGCCUUACACAUGCAAGUCGAACGGCAGCGCGGGGCAACCUGGCGGCGAGUGGCGAACGGGUGAGUAACAUAUCGGAACAUACCCUAGAGUGGGGGAUAACGUAGCGAAAGUUACGCUAAUACCGCAUACGCACUAAGGUGGAAAGUGGGGGGAUCUUCGGACCUCAUGCUCAUGGAGUGGCCGAUAUCUGAUUAGCUAGUUGGUGAGGUAAAGGCUCACCAAGGCGACGAUCAGUAGCUGGUUUGAGAGAACGACCAGCCACACUGGAACUGAGACACGGUCCAGACUCCUACGGGAGGCAGCAGUGGGGAAUUUUGGACAAUGGGGGCAACCCUGAUCCAGCAAUGCCGCGUGAGUGAAGAAGGCCUGGUU